CGUUUACUGUGAACAAAUUAGAGUGCUCAAAACAGGCUUUUGCUUGAAUUUUUUUAGCAUGGAAUAAUAAAAUACGACUUCGCUCAUUUUAUUGGUUCUUGAACGAAGUAAUGGUUAACAGGAACAGUUGGGGGCAUUCGUACUUAAAAGUCAGAGGUGAAAUUCUUAGAUUUUUUAAAGACGAACUAAUGCGAAGGCAUUUGCCAAGGAUGUUUUCAUUAAUCAAGAACGAAAGCGUUGGGAUCAAAAAGGAUCAGAUACCCUUGUAGUCAACGCCGUAAACGAUACUGACUAGGGAUUGGUGAGGCGAACCCCUCAUCAGCACCUAAUGAGAAAUCAAAGUCUUUGAGUUCUGGGGAGAGUAUGGUCGCAAGGCUGAAACUUAAGGAAUUGACGGAAAGAUACACAAGUCGUGGAUUCUGCGGCUUAAAUUGAUUCAACACGGGAAAACUUACGCAGGCAAAAAGCUAGUAGGAUUGACAGCUUGAUAGCACUUUCUUGAUUUGGUCAGCGAGUGGUGCAUGGCCGUUCUUA
rnacentral:rRNA from 1 species